UACGUAGGGUGCGAGCGUUAAUCGGAAUUACUGGGCGUAAAGCGUGCGCAGGCGGUCCGCAAAGUCUGAUGUGAAAGCCCCGGGCUCAACCUGGGAACUGCAUUGGAAACUAACGGGCUCGAGUGUGGCAGAGGGGGGUGGAAUUCCACGUGUAGCAGUGAAAUGCGUAGAUAUGUGGAGGAACACCGAUGGCGAAGGCAGCCCCCUGGGAUGUGACUGACGCUCAUGUACGAAAGCGUGGGGAGCAAACAGG
rnacentral:rRNA from 1 species